rnacentral:rRNA from 1 species
UACGUAGGGCGCAAGCGUUGUCCGGAAUUACUGGGCGUAAAGCGCACGUAGGCGGAUUUGUAAGUCAGGGGUGAAAUCCCGGGGCUCAACCUGGGAACUGCCUUUAAUACUGCCAGUCUAGAGUCCGGAAGAGGUAAGUGGAACUCCUAGUGUAGAGGUGGAAUUCGUAGAUAUUAGGAAGGACACCAGUGGCGAAGGCGGCUUACUGGUCCGGUACUGACGCUGAGGUGCGAAAGCGUGGGGAGCAAACAGG